GUGCUUGCUUUGGCAGUAUAUAUAUACUAAAAUUGGAACAAUACAGAGAAGAUUGGCAUGGACUCUGCACAAGGAAUGACAUGCAAAUUUGUGAAGCUUUCCUUAUUUUU